rnacentral:rRNA from 1 species
UACAGAGGUCCCGAGCGUUGUUCGGAUUCAUUGGGCGUAAAGGGUGUGUAGGCGGUUGGGUUAGUCAGAUGUGAAAUCCCGUCGCUUAACGACGGAAUGGCAUUUGAUACUGCCCGACUGGAGGAUCGGAGGGGGCAACGGAAUUCUUGGUGUAGCAGUGAAAUGCGUAGAUAUCAAGAGGAACACCGGUGGCGUAGGCGGUUGCCUGGAAGAUUCCUGACUCUGAAACACGAAAGCCAGGGGAGCAAACGGG